UAACGCGUGAGGAACCUGCCUUUCAGAGGGGGACGAACAGCUGGAAACGGCUGCUAAUACCGCAUAACACAUAGGUGUCGCAUGGCAUUUAUGUCAAAGAUUUAUCGCUGAGAGAUGGCCUCGCGUCUGAUUAGCUAGUUGGUAGGGUAACGGCCUACCAAGGCGACGAUCAGUAGCCGGACUGAGAGGUUGGCCGGCCACAUUGGGACUGAGAUACGGCCCAGACUCCUACGGGAGGCAGCAG
rnacentral:rRNA from 1 species